rnacentral:rRNA from 1 species
AGUGAACGCUGGCGGUAGGCCUAACACAUGCAAGUCGAGCGGCAGCGCGGUGACAACCCUCUCUUACAGCUGCGGACUGGUGAGGAAUUCGUCGGUAUCUCCCUUUUUGCUUUUGAGAACGUAGGGAAGUUUACGCUAAUACCGCAUUCGUCCUACCGGACUACGGGUGAGAGCACAAGACCUCACGCAGUAACAUGAUCCAACGACCCGAUGUCGGAUUAGCUAGUUGGCGGGGUAAAGGCCCACCAAGGCGACGAUCGGUAGCUGGUCUGAGAGGAUGAUCAGCCACACUGGAACUGAGACACGGUCCAGACUCCUACGGGAGGCAGCAGUGGGGAAUAUUGGACAAUGGGCGCAAGCCUGAUCCAGCCAUGCCGCGUGUGUGAAGAAGGCCUUCGGGUUGUAAAGCACUUUUGUUGGGAAAGAAAAGCAUGGGGCUAAUACCUUGGGGGGAUGACGGUACCCAAAGAAUAAGCACCGGCUAACUUCGUG